CAGGGUAUAGCUCAGUGGUAGAGCACAUGCCUAGCAUGCCCAAGGUCCUGGGUUCAAUCCCCAGUACUUUCA
rnacentral:tRNA from 1 species